rnacentral:rRNA from 1 species
UACGAAGGGGGCUAGCGUUGCUCGGAAUCACUGGGCGUAAAGCGCACGUAGGCGGCUUUCUAAGUCAGGGGUGAAAUCCUGGAGCUCAACUCCAGAACUGCCUUUGAUACUGGAGAGCUCGAGUCCGGAAGAGGUGAGUGGAACUGCGAGUGUAGAGGUGAAAUUCGUAGAUAUUCGCAAGAACACCAGUGGCGAAGGCGGCGCACUGGUCCGGUACUGACGCUGAGGUGCGAAAGCGUGGGGAGCAAACAGG